rnacentral:tRNA from 1 species
GCCGAAGUGGUGGAACUGGUAGACACGCUGUGUUCAGGGCGCAGUGUCCUAACGGUCGUGUGGGUUCGAAUCCCACCUUCGGCA